rnacentral:tRNA from 1 species
GCUGCCGUAGCUCAGUGGAAGAGCGCGUCCUUGGUAAGGACGAGGUCGAGAGUUCGAUCCUCUCCGGCAGCACCA